UGGGGAAUAUUGCACAAUGGGGGAAACCCUGAUGCAGCGACGCCGCGUGAGCGAAGAAGGUUUUCGAAUCGUAAAGCUCUGUCCUAUGAGAAGAUAAUGACGGUAUCAUAGGAGGAAGCCCCGGCUAAAUACGUGCCAGCAGCCGCGGUAAUACGUAUGGGGCGAGCGUUGUCCGGAAUUAUUGGGCGUAAAGGGUACGUAGGCGGUCUAUUAAGUCAGGUGUGAAAGCGUGAGGCUUAACCUCAUUAAGCACUUGAAACUGAUAGACUUGGGUGAAGGGGAGGAAAGUGGAAUUCCUAGUGUAGCGGUGAAAUGCGUAAAUAUUAGGAGGAAUAACGGUGGCGGAGGCGACUUUCUGGGCUUUUACUGACGCUCAGGUACGAAAGCGUGGGGAGCAAACAGG
rnacentral:rRNA from 1 species